CAGCGAAGGACUGCUAGGCUUCGCCCUCAUGCCCGGAGCUGCCUUAUGUACCACUCCCUUCUCUGUAGAAAAAGCAGAAGUGGAUCCUGCUGCAGAACUGCCUGAGGCAAGGGAAGCAAACCUGAACUCUCUUCUGAGUCCACUGACACUGCUUAUUAAUCAGCCAGACGAUUCACCGCUGAGGGACACAAGGGCCUCCCUCCCUGGGGGAAAUCCUUCUGCAUCCAGGGAGCACCACCUGUCCCCAAGAAACCUAGGAAACAGGAUUCUGGGAAAACAUCUGGUGCCGCCAUUUCAAGGAACAUUUUUUUGUAUAUUUUCUGACUGACUCAGAUAUGAAGCAGCAUCCUUUGAGAAGAGGAUCAAGAAACAUCACAAGGAGUUUAAUUUUCAAGGUAUGUGUAACAACAAUCCUGUGGGCCUUUUUGGGGGUGCUGCUACAGCUCCAGAGACAUCGGCAGUGGCAUAUCGACUGAAAUAAUGAGAGGCAGCAGAACAAG
rnacentral:lncRNA from 1 species